UUUUCUUCAUUUUCUCUCAUACACUCCUCUCUACUCCUACAUCCUCUCUCACCGGUACUUCCACACCACCACCACCACCAUUUCCACCAUCAUUUUUUGGUAAAAUCACCGGAAAAUUCUUGAGAACCUAUAAGCACCUUCGCAUCCUUUUUUGUGAGUAGGCAACUAUCGUUUUGAGACAGCUUUUUGGUGGCUAACAGUAGUUAGACUAACCGUUGAUGAAGGCUGACUUUUGUGAUGGAGAUAAUUGAUGAUGUAUAACUUAGAGUAGGCUUGACCCAAUUCUUUUGUAUCUAAUAGUGGUUAUGCCUUUAUUUCCACUAAUAGGAUAAGUUGAUGACAUGUAAUUAUUUAUUCAAACCUCCAUUCUUUUGUGACCAAUGGUCAUUGUAUUUAUUGCAUAAAGCUCUAACUUACUUUGGGAGUA